rnacentral:tRNA from 1 species
GGGUGUAUAGCUCAGCUGGCUAGAGCGCUACCUUGACAUGGUAGAGGUCGAAGGUUCAAGUCCUCCUACACCCACCA